rnacentral:rRNA from 1 species
UACGUAGGGUGCAAGCGUUGUCCGGAAUUAUUGGGCGUAAAGAGCUCGUAGGCGGUCUGUCGCGUCGAAUGUGAAAACCCGGGGCUCAACCCCGGGCCUGCAUUCGAUACGGGCAGACUAGAGUUCGGUAGGGGAGUCUGGAAUUCCUGGUGUAGCGGUGAAAUGCGCAGAUAUCAGGAGGAACACCGGUGGCGAAGGCGGUCCCCUGGGCCGGAACUGACGCUGAGGCGCGAAAGCGUGGGUAGCAAACGGG